GUUAAGCGACUAAGCGUACACGGUGGAUGCCCUGGCAGUCAGAGGCGAUGAAGGGCGUGCUAAUCUGCGAUAAGCGCCGGUAAGGUGAUAUGAACCGUUAUAACCGGCGAUACCCGAAUGGGGAAACCCAGUGUGAUUCGUCACACUAUCAUUAACUGAAUCCAUAGGUUAAUGAGGCGAACCGGGGGAACUGAAACAUCUAAGUACCCCGAGGAAAAGAAAUCAACCGAGAUUCCCCCAGUAGCGGCGAGCGAACGGGGAGGAGCCCAGAGCCUGAAUCAGCAUGUGUGUUAGUGGAAGCGUCUGGAAAGGCGCGCGAUACAGGGUGACAGCCCCGUACACAAAAGCGCAUGUGCUGUGAGCUCGAUGAGUAGGGCGGGACACGUGGUAUCCUGUCUGAAUAUGGGGGGACCAUCCUCCAAGGCUAAAUACUCCUGACUGACCGAUAGUGAACCAGUACCGUGAGGGAAAGGCGAAAAGAACCCCGGCGAGGGGAGUGAAAAAGAACCUGAAACCGUGUACGUACAAGCAGUGGGAGCCCCACCACUAAGCCAGUGGUGAACUCCACAUCCGCAUCCUUUGCUGAGGAUACGGUUAACGGAGCGAAAGCGACGUUCAACCGCAAAACAAGCAGAGGGGGCUUAGUGGUGGGGUGACUGCGUACCUUUUGUAUAAUGGGUCAGCGACUUAU
rnacentral:rRNA from 1 species